GACGAACGCUGGCGGCGUGCCUAAUACAUGCAAGUCGAACGCAGUGGGGACGGGUGAGUAACACGUGGGUAACCUCCCAUCAGAGGGGAUAACACUUGGAACCAGGUGCUCAACCUCUACUGAUGGAUGGACCCGCGGUGCAUUAGCUAGUUGGUGAGGUAACGGCUCACCAAGGCCACGCUGCAGAGCCGACCUGAGAGUGUGAUGUGCCACUCAGGGACGGAGACACGGCCCAGACUCCGACGGGAGGCAGCAGUAGGGAAUCUUCGGCAAUGGACGAAAGUCUGACCGAGCAACGCCGCGUGAGUGAAGAAGGUUUUCGGAUCGUAAAACUCUGUUGUUAGAGAAGCGGUAUCUAACCAGAAAGCCACGGCUAACUACGUGCCAGCCGCCGCGGUAAUUC
rnacentral:rRNA from 1 species